ensembl:lncRNA
GAGAGAGGGGGAGGGGAGGGAGGAGGGGAUUAUAGGUGUCAGCCUCAGGGCCAAUCCUUCUCAGAGGACCACAGCGGCCAGACGUUCGCACGGCCAGGUGAGCACGCAGGUACCGCUGGGGGCUAGCCUCUGAAGCUAACAGGGUUCACUCUCCUCGGGGUACGCCUCCUGCUCCAGGCGCUGAAGCUCCGCCUUGGCCGAGGACGACGUCAGACCCAAGCUACAACUCCCGGAGCGACACCAAAGAUACAAGAUGAACAGCUGAUGUCCUCACAGCCGUGCGGCUCUCCGCUGGUGGUGACGGUCCUCUAGAAGAAGCUCCUUCAAGAGGAGGAGCCUACAGGGAGAGCUUCCUGUGGGUAGGCUCCUGGGGGAGGAGCCUACAGGGAGAGCUUCCUGUGGGUAGGCUCCUGGAGGAGCUCCUCAGUCUCCGCCUCCUGGUGAGAUGCUUCACCUCCGCCACUUCCAUCCAGCUGCACUUCACCUCCGCCUGACGCCACGGCAACACUGAGGGCCCCGCCCCGCCCCCGGCGCCAGGGGCCCCGCUGUCCCCAGCCCUCCAUGGCCGCGCCCCGGUCCCCCGAACCCAAGCAGCGGGGGGGCGGAGGCGGGGGGGAGGGCGGGGCCACAGGCCCAGCCCCCUGUCCUGGCUCCUCCUCUGCCUCCUGUCCGUCGGCCCGGCGGCCGCCAGCCUCCCGGGGCUGGAGCACGACUACGCCGUCAGCCCCAAGUUUGUGUGCACCCCCAUCCCGCCGGAGGCCGACCCCAGCUGCUACUCCCCGCCCCUGCCCCACGGCGGGGGGGGCGCGGGGCACGGCGGGGGGGGCCACAGUGCCGGGGGUCACGGCGGCGCCGGCCACAACGGCAGCAGCCGGCGUGCGGUGAUGUCGGAGGAGGCGAAGGCCACCAUCCUGCACCUGCGGGAGAGCCUGGUGCGGCAGAAGGAGGUGAUCCUGGACCAGCGCGAGACCAUCCGGGAGCUCACCGCCAAGCUGACGCUGUGCGAGGGCUUCGGAGGACACCAGGGCAUAGGUCACCACGACAACGGGCGCCAUGACAACGGUCACCACAACGAACACAACGAUCGACGCGGUGGUCACCACGGGCCCCACCGUGACCACUACUACCCCCACGGGGGCCACCAUCCCGACCCCCACCACCCAGACCCCCACCACCCAGACCCCCACCACCGUGAACCCCACCACCCAGACCCC